UUAUUCUUCCUCUUCCUCUUCCUCUUCCUCCUCCACAUCAUCAUCAUCAUCAUUUGAAUUAGCAGAGCUCCAUUUCUGGUUGUCACUCAUGUUUCUCUUUUUCAUGACAGUACAUUAUUUUUGUCCCAUGUAUCUGUUUUAAAAUUUGACUUAUAGUUAUGAUACCAUUUCUGUGUGGUUAUGGCAAUCUAAAUUCUAGCAUUGCAUUG
rnacentral:miRNA from 14 species